CCUUUUUCAUUAUCCAUGAAUGUUGACUCUGAUAAGGGGAUCCUGACCAUGAGAGCAUCUCUCUGUCUCGGUCUCCGGCGCUCUUUGCAGUCCUUUGUUUUAUCUCAGGUGAAUUGUAAUCAUGUGAUCAAACGAACACCCCCCUUCCAUUACCCUCUUAAAUGAAAAAAUGAGGAACAAAAAGCAGUUCUGUGUAUAUAAAAAAAGAAAAGAAAAGAGAAAAGACGCGCGUCUCCCUUUGGAGAGUCUUUUCUCCGUGUGGCUUCAAACGUACACAUAUAGAGGAAAAGCGCGGCGCCGUGUCUCCGUCUCUCGGCGGUACAGAUGUGCGGGGAUCACGCGGAUCUGAGGCCUGCUGCACGCUUUGAUGUGAGUGUCUCCCGGUUGCUCUGUUAGGGAAGAGAGAGACAUGAAGUGGAGUCAGGAAGCAGAGUUUGUGAGGAUAGAUGGAGGGUGAGGGGGAACGGCUCAUAAUGAGCAGCGCAGGGGGCAGUAAACGCUGACAAUGAGCCUCUGUUACUGACCCACACAAUACAGCACUAUCAGUUUCAUCACGCUUCUCUCUCAGUCAGGAAUGAGUCUGUCUGCCUCAGGCCUGGAUCCCCAGACUUCUCUCUCUCCAUCAGACGCGCUGCAGAGCUUCAGCCAUGGCUCUGGAUCCAUGACACUGUGUUUGUGCUGUCGUUUAGUGAAUGAUCACCCUACUAAUGGACUGACAUGGGUUGGUUAAUUAGUGGAAGCAGGUUACUGAAAAACCUUCUACAAGUGAUUCACCUGAACAAGAGGAAGACUGAGUCAAAGAUAUCGAGCUGUGGAGGAGUGAGAGUUCUGAGAGAGAGA
ensembl:lncRNA